AUGAAGGAGCGCGACGUGGCCCCGGCCGAGCGGGGCAAGCCGGCCACCUACACCGGGGACAAGAAGGCGAAGACGGCGGCCAAGACCAACAAGAAGUGGGUCCGGCUCGCCACCGUGUUCGCCCACGUGCUCUCCGUGUCGCUGGCCGCCAUCGUGCUCGCCGUCCACUACAGCCUCAUCUGGCAGCCGGUGGGUGCCGGGACCUCGGGGGGAGCCGCUGGCCCGCCCCCCGGCAGCUCCAACGCCACCGGCCCGUCCGUGACUUGGUGAGCGGCGGCGGUGGCGGGGCCCAACACCACCGGGUCGUCCCGCCGCGCGACGCUCCCCCACUGCAGGCGGCGCGUCCGGCGCCUCCGGAGCCCCCCGCGGACAGCCCCCCGGUCUGGCCGCUUGAGCGGCCUCGGGGGCCGGACGAGGACGAGGAGGAAGCGGCGGCGGCGCCCGGGAGUCGUUGAAGCCCUCGGCGCUGGGGGCGGCCGGGAACCAUCAUCCCCAAGCCCAGAGGAAGGACUUCGCAUCAGGAUGGGGUGGAGAGCCCGCAGGAGUGACCCCCACGGGAGUGAACGCCCCCCACACUCCUACCAUCGCCGGCUGGUCCCGGAGCUGGCGGCCCGCAGCCACAUCUUCAGCCAAGGGACCACGAUUCGCCGGGGGGCUGGGUGGCUGGGGGGCUGCUGCCCAGGACCGUGCGGCACAGGGCCCUGAGCCCUAGGGGGAUGGGGGAGGGGUGGGGAGAUCCCAGCACCAAAACCUUCUGCGCCGCUAGGUCUGGUGUAUCCUACAUGCAGGGGUGACUCGGGCUUUCCCCCAAGACUCAGGGGAAGGAGGGCGCUGUAGGAGCUCUUUUUAAGUAAGCUGAAGC